rnacentral:rRNA from 1 species
UGGGGAAUCUUGCGCAAUGGACGAAAGUCUGACGCAGCGACGCCGCGUGGGUGACGAAGGCCUUCGGGUUGUAAAGCCCUGUGGGGCGAGACGAACAGCUUCUGGUCGAACAGGCCAGGGGUCUGACGGUAUCGCCUUAGCAAGCACCGGCUAACUCUGUGCCAGCAGCCGCGGUAAUACAGAGGGUGCAAACGUUGCUCGGAAUUACUGGGCGUAAAGCGCGUGUAGGCGGUUUUAUAAGUCCGAUGUGAAAGCCCAGGGCUCAACCCUGGAAGUGCAUUGGAUACUGUGAAGCUGGAGUCCUGAAGAGGAGAGCGGAAUUCCCGGCGUGGAGGUGAAAUUCGUAGAUAUCGGGAGGAACACCUGUGGCGAAGGCGGCUCUCUGGGCAGGUACUGACGC